AUCUCAAUAUAUCCACUUUUAUUUUGAUCGAAAAAUGCAAAAGCGUCUUUAAGAUGAUCAUCAUUGCCCAUUUUUCUCAAGUGAACGGAAAUUGCAACAAAUUCUCCAUACAUCCAUAAGUAUCUGAAGAUCUGCAUCUGGUAUUUGUUGGCCGAGCUUUUGCAAACCGGCUUUCAACUCAGCGAUGUUUAUCUUUCCUUGUUUGCUAGUAUCCAUCAAAUCAAAUCCUUGUUUUAUUCCUGCCACUUCCUCAGCCGAUAAAUGCUCCG
rnacentral:lncRNA from 1 species